rnacentral:tRNA from 1 species
GCAGUGGUGGUCCAGUGGUAGAACUCUCACCUUCCACGUGAGAGACCUGAGUUUAAUUCCUGACCAAUGCA